UCCCUGAGAGCUCAGAUGGUAGACAAUCUGCCUGCAAUGCAGGAGACCCAGGUUAGAUCCCUGGGUAGGGAA
rnacentral:tRNA from 1 species